ensembl:misc_RNA 7SK 7SK RNA
AGAACUAAGAUUCAGACCCAGGUCAUCUCAUUCCAAAGACAAAGCUCUUGUGUGUGAGGUGAUCUGGCUGGCUAGGCAAAGGUCCCAUUCCUCCCUUCUGUGAGUUUCUCCUGAAACUACACACUCAGUCCAAGAGGACAGCCUUACCCCCAGAUGAGGACCAUGCUUCUCUUAAGGGUAUAAAAGUACCUGUGCUCCCCCAGCAUUGCCUUCAAGCUGGCUCUCAAGACAAAGCUUUAAGCUACACUGCCAUCCUUGUGUGUCCAU